rnacentral:rRNA from 1 species
UACAGAGGGUGCAAGCGUUGUUCGGAAUUAUUGGGCGUAAAGCGCGUGUAGGCGGCCACGCAAGUCAGGUGUGAAAGCCCUCGGCUUAACCGAGGAAGUGCGCCUGAAACUACGUGGCUUGAAUACCGGAGAGGGUGGCGGAAUUCCCGGUGUAGAGGUGAAAUUCGUAGAUAUCGGGAGGAACACCAGUGGCGAAGGCGGCCACCUGGACGGCUCUUGACGCUGAGACGCGAAAGCGUGGGGAGCAAACAGG